AUUGAACGCUGGCGGCAUGCUUUACACAUGCAAGUCGAACGGUAACAGGCCGCCAGGUGCUGACGAGUGGCGAACGGGUGAGUAAUGCAUCGGAACGUGCCCAGUCGUGGGGGAUAACUACUCGAAAGAGUAGCUAAUACCGCAUACGAUCUAUGGAUGAAAGCGGGGGACCGUAAGGCCUCGCGCGAUUGGAGCGGCCGAUGUCAGAUUAGGUAGUUGGUGGGGUAAAGGCUCACCAAGCCAACGAUCUGUAGCUGGUCUGAGAGGACAACCAGCCACACUGGGACUGAGACACGGCCCAGACUCCUACGGGAGGCAGCAGUGGGGAAUUUUGGACAAUGGGCGCAAGCCUGAUCCAGCAAUGCCGCGUGCAGGAAGAAGGCCUUCGGGUUGUAAACUGCUUUUGUACGGAACGAAACGGCUCUGGUUAAUACCCGGGGCUAAUGACGGUACCGUAAGAAUAAGCACCGGCUAACUACGUG
rnacentral:rRNA from 1 species